rnacentral:rRNA from 1 species
CAAAACGACUCUCGGCAACGGAUAUCUCGGCUCUUKCMUCGAUGAAGAACGCAGMKAAAUGCGAUACUUGGUGUGAAUUGCAGAAUCCCGUGAACCAUCGAGUCUUUGAACGCAAGUUGCGCCCAAAGCCAUUAGGUUGAGGGCACGCCUGCCUGGGUGUCACA